rnacentral:rRNA from 1 species
ACGCUGGCGGCAUGCUUUACACAUGCAAGUCGGACGGCAGCACAGAGAAGCUUGCUUCUUGGGUGGCGAGUGGCGAACGGGUGAGUAAUAUAUCGGAACGUACCGAGUAAUGGGGGAUAACUAAUCGAAAGAUUAGCUAAUACCGCAUAUUCUCUGAGGAGGAAAGCAGGGGACCUUCGGGCCUUGCGUUAUUCGAGCGGCCGAUAUCUGAUUAGCUAGUUGGUGGGGUAAAGGCCUACCAAGGCGACGAUCAGUAGCGGGUCUGAGAGGAUGAUCCGCCACACUGGGACUGAGACACGGCCCAGACUCCUGCGGGAGGCAGCAGUGGGGAAUUUUGGACAAUGGGCGCAAGCCUGAUCCAGCCAUGCCGCGUGUCUGAAGAAGGCCUUCGGGUUGUAAAGGACUUUUGUCAGGGAAGAAAAGGCUGUUGCUAAUACCGACAGCUGAUGACGGUACCUGAAGAAUAAGCACCGGCUAACUACGUGCCAGCAGCCGCGGUAAUACGUAGGGUGCGAGCGUUAAUCGGAAUUACUGGGCGUAAAGCGAGCGCAGACGGUUACUUAAGCAGGAUGUGAAAUCCCGGGCUCAACCUGGGAACUGCGUUCUGAACUGGGUGACUAGAGUGUGUCAGAGGGAGGUAGAAUUCCACGUGUAGCAGUGAAAUGCGUAGAGAUGUGGAGGAAUACCGAUGGCGAAGGCAGCCUCCUGGGAUAACACUGACGUUCAUGCUCGAAAGCGUGGGUAGCAAACAGGAUUAGAUACCCUGGUAGUCCACGCCCUAAACGAUGUCAAUUAGCUGUUGGGCAACUUGAUUGCUUAGUAGCGUAGCUAACGCGUGAAAUUGACCGCCUGGGGAGUACGGUCGCAAGAUUAAAACUCAAACGAAUUGACGGGGACCCGCACAAGCGGUGGAUGAUG